rnacentral:lncRNA from 1 species
AGAGCAGAGCUCCCUCUCCAGCGGGGAGACCUGGUGUAUUUAAACACCGGCGAGCAGCUUCAGCUUGAUUUCGCCGGCCUCAAGCCCAGACAGCGGCAGAAGGCAGCAGAUGUGGGCGGGCGCCCGCUGGAGCCCCGCUUUCAGCAGCUAUCGCCGCCAAGCCACCUGCGCGGCCACAGCCAGAGCUCCAGCCCGGCUCCGCUCGGUCCCGCAGCCCGGCUCGGCCCGGAGACCGGAGCCACCCCCUCCCGACCCCGCUUCACGUCCCCCGGCCGCGUCCUCCCGAUCCGGGGCCGUCCCCCGGCCGCUGCCCGGGUCGGCGCCGCCGCUCGGACCGUCUCCGUAGCAACGACGAAACGCGGCCCCCCCCCGCACUCCCCCGACCCCCGGCAGCUCCGGCGAGGGCUCCCCCUGCCCGCCGCCGCCUCGGUCCGGCACGGCGCUGACCGCGGCUCACCUCGGGGCAGGUGCCCGCAGCCCGCUCCGGCUGCCGAGCCGCAGGGACGAGCGCCCGCGCCGCAGAACCGCCGGCCCAGCUGUGCGGCUGUGGCGGAGCGGGAGGAGCCGAGCAGCCUCCCCUCCUCUCCCCGCUCCGCCCAGUGCGCAGCGGCGGCCCCGGAGUCCCCGCAGAGCCCGUCGCGGCUGGGCCGCACCUGCCGGGGAGGAGCAGGGUCAUAAGGACAGAGACGCUGCUUCUUAUCUGGGCCAGUGAACUUAUGUGCAACACAAAACUGUUGUUUAAACGUUACUUUUGUUCCAGGGCUAAUUUGAGCCUUGCCAUCUUAGCCAUGCUCACAACUUGUUUCACUGUGCAGUGCAGACAUGACAAGGUAAAUGAUGCGCAGUCUCCCUAUACUCAGAAAUUUCUUACACAUCUAAAACAACAUCACAGAUUAAGGCCUUGCCACUUGGUAGUGAAACUUAGUUGUAGAGGUUGACUGAGGAGCAUACAUGAGGAACAGCAUUAAAUACCAGUAUUUGGCAUUGGAUAUUUUGUUCUACAUUAAGCUGUAGUAGGUGUCGUUUAGAACUCUCACAUCUCAUGAGCAGAUCUUAUAGUAGAUUUUAUUACAUGCAUAUCAAUAAUACAAACAGUCUUUUUGUGUUCAAAGACAGUUGAUAUAUUGCUGGUGCUGAAAUGAGCUAAUUGGCAGUUUUAAAAGCCGUGUCAUCUGUGAGAGCUAUAAACCAAGACUCUAUAAUGACCUUAAAUAAAGAAAGAAUAUGUCAUGUUGCUGCCA